GACGAACGCUUUCGGCUUUCUUAACACCUUCAAUUCGAACUUAAAGGCCCUGCUUUUGUGGGGUGCUCGAGUGGCGAACGGGUGAGUAACACGUGAGUAACCUGCCCUUGACUUUGGGAUAACUUCAGGAAACUGGGGCUAAUACCGGAUAGGAGCUCCUGCUGCAUGGUGGGGGUUGGAAAGUUUCGGCGGUUGGGGAUGGACUCGCGGCUUAUCAGCUUGUUGGUGGGGUAGUGGCUUACCAAGGCUUUGACGUGGAGCCGGCCUGAGAGGGUGACCGGCCACAUUGGGACUGAGAUACGGCCCAGACUCCUACGGGAGGCAGCAGUGGGGAAUAUUGCACAAUGGGCGGAAGCCUGAUGCAGCAACGCCGCGUGCGGGAUGAAGGAAUUCGGGUUGUAAACCGCUUUCGCCUGUGACGAAGCGUGAGUGACGGUAAUGGGUAAAGAAGCAAAGGAUAAAUACGGG
rnacentral:rRNA from 1 species